CUUUUUACAUGGAGAACGUGCACUAACUGAGAUCAUUAUCAUUUCCAGUCAGAGAUGCCUGACGCUUGCCUGCCCAACAACAAAGACUUGCCGGGGAACUCGCACUACACACACACACACAAUCUCGCCAAAUCAAUGGGCAUCAUGUCGGAGGAUUCACACGUUCCACCAUGAUCACAGACUAUAGAAAAUAACGAGCCUGGCUCAAUUAACACAAAGGGAGAUCAGUAUUAUCGUAUGUUCAAGUUGCUCUCAUUAAAGCCACAAUCUGGAAUCUGGGAAUCGUGUAAACUUGUUCUAACCUAUUAUGUGGAUGUCAGAGACUGUCUGUCUUUGCGUCUACACUGUAAAACAAAUCUAGUCGUUUGAACUAGUUAUUAUUAAGUAACUGGUUCCACAGCCUUGUUCUUUUUUACUCAACUUUUCGGUUCAAGUGUUACCUGAACAAAAACAAUUAGUUGGCCCAAAACUUAGUUCCAACUUGAGAAAAUGCAGUCAACUUUCUAGUUGUGUGUCUGCUUAAAUUGUCUCAGAUGUUCAUUCAACUCAAAAUCAUUAAUUAAUUAAAUUAAUUAAAAAAGUCAGUGGAACUAGUUACAUACACACAGUGCUUUAACAUACAAUGUUUAACUUCGAUAGUUGACACGCAUACAUGAUAGGCUAGAUUAAGCAGCCACCUAUGGCGGCACUUGAAUUUGGGGCGGCAUUUUGACAAUUGGCUCCCCGGCGCCCCUGAUCAGCUACUGCACUGCCGGCGGCACCCCAGCCACCAGCUCAUAGCAUUUCUGCAAUUUCCACUUCUCCCAAAAUUCACUCCCACUAUGCUUGGUGUGUUUAUAUUGGAUUAUGCAAGUGUGAAACGUUACCAGAAAUGAAUCCGCCAAUUAAAUGAUUGUAUUGUUUUUUUAUGUUGGUGUGACGAACACGAUUAGUGAUUAAGGCAGUAGCCUAACCUAGCCUGUUAACAUGAGCUAGCUACUACUAGUGGUAAUCAUCUUAGCUAAUCAGAUUCAUGAUUCGCCAAUGAGCGCUUGACGCAGCUUCAAGAGCACAGCAGUGUCUUCAGCAUCCUGUAACAACAUCCCCACAUUCAAGGACAUGGAAUCAACGUGUUUGAGCAGGAGACUGGGCAGUGAGGCAAAAGCACUCAACGCACUGGGGUACAUAUCCAGACCCCAAAUGGCCUCCUUGUAUCUCAAUGCCUUUGUUCGCUCUGGGAGAUCUUCUCAGACUCCCGGUGACAGUGGCAAGUGGAGAGCGCACAUUCUCCAAGCUCAAACUCAAACUACCUGCACUCUACGAGUCAAGAGACUCAAACUUUGAGAACAAGGCUACCUAAAUUCUAUCAGCAUACUGAUUGCAUAUCAAAAUGGUGCCGACAGAGAUGGUUGCCUCGCUUCGAGUGCGUUAUUUUCUUUUUUUAUGUAUUAUUUCUUACACUGUUACCCCAGGAAAUCUUAAGUCUUAUUACAUACAGCCAGGAAGAACUAUUGGAUAUACGAGCAACGUCAAAUUUUCAACAUUACGACCAGGAAUACCACUUUCCCGAAGCAGAUCCUCAGUUCGAACCGCCACCCAGGACAAUGGAUCUAAUCCCAGUAGCCAACCCAAAACAACGGCGCCGCAGAAGGGGCAGCCACCGGGCUUCUCCAUGCAUCGCGCCGACAGACAUAAACACCUCUCUGGGAAGAGGAAGGGCGGGGGUGGAUGCUUUAUGAUUAACCACUCAUGGUGUAACCAUAACAACAUACAGGAACUCAAGUCCUUCUGCUCACCCGACCUAGAAUUCCUUACAAUCAAAUGCCGGCCAUUUUACCUACCAAGAGAAUUCUCAUCAGUUAUAGUCACAGCUGUGUACAUUCCCCCUCAAGCAAACACCAAGAGGGCCCUCGAGGAACUUCACUGGACUCUAUGUAAACUGUAAACUAUAUAUCCGGAGGCUGCAUUUACUGUAGCUGGGGGUUUUAACAAAGCAAAUUUGAGAACAAUGCUAUCUAAAUUCUAUCAGUAUAUUUUUGCACGACGCGCAGGGGUAAUACUCUUGACCACUGCUACUCUAACUUCCGCAUACAAAGCCCUCCCCCACCCUCCCUUUGGCAAAUCCGACCACGACGCCAUCUUGCUUGUACCAUCUUAUAGGCAGAAACUCAAACAGAAUGUAUCAGUGACGAGAACCAUUCAACGCUGGUCUGACCAAUCGGAAGCCGUGCUUCAAGAUUGUUUUGAUCACGCGGACUGGAAUAUGUUCCGGUCAGCCUCAGAGCAACAUCGACCUAUACGCUGACUCGGUGAGCGGGUUUAUAAAGUAGUGCAUUAUAGAUGCUGUACCCACUGUGACUAUUAAAACCUACCCUAACCAGAAACAGUGGAUGGUUGGCGGUAUUCGCACAAAAUUGAAAGCGUGAUACACCGCAUUAAACCAUGGAAAGAGGUCUGGAAAUUUGGCUGAAUAUAAACAAGUGUAGUAUAUAAACAAGGCAAUCAAAUGAAAUUCCGGUACAGGGACAAAGUGGAGUCACAAUUCAACGGCUCAGACAAGAGACGUAUGUGGCAGGGUCUACAAGAAAUCACGGACGACAAAAACAAAAACAGCCACGUCACGGACACCGACAAACUAAACACCACCUUGCCCGCUUUGAGGAUAAUACAGUGCCACCAUCGCGGCUCGCUAACAAGGACUGCGCCCCACCACCCCUUCUCUGUGGCCGACGUGAGUAAAACGUUUCAACGCGUUAACCCUUGCAGGGCUACUGGCCCAGACGGCACCCUAGCCGCAUCCUCAGAGCAUGCAGAGACCAGCUGGCUGGUGUGUUUACGGACAUAUUCAAUCGCUCCCUAUCCCAGUCUGUUGUCCCCACAUGCUUCAAGAUGGCCACCAUUGUCCCUGUACCCAAGAAGGCAAAGCUAACUGAACUAAAUGACUACUGCCCCAUAGCACUCACUUGUGUCAUCAUGAAGUGCUUUGAGAGACUAGUCAAGGAUCAUAUCAUCUCCACCUUACCAGCCACCCUAGUCCCACUUCAGUUUGCAUACCGCCCCAAUAGGUCCACAGAUGACGCAAUCGCCAUCACACAGCACACUGCCCUAUCCCAGAAGAAUACAUAUGUAAGAAUGCUGUUCAUUGACUACAGCUCAGCAUUCAACACCAUAGUACCCUCCAAGCUCAUCAUCAGCCCCGCCCUGUGCAAUUGGGUCCUGGACUUUCUGACGGGCCACCCCCAGGUGGUGAAGGUAGGAAACAACAUCUCCACUUCGCUGACCAUCAACACUGGGGCCCCACAAGGGUGCGUGCUCAGUCCUCUCCUGUACUCCCUGUUCACCUACGACUGUGUGGCUAUGCAACGCAAUCAUCAAGUUUGCAGACACAACAGUAGUGGGCUUGAUCACCAACAACGACGAGACAGUCUACAGAGAGGAGGAGUAUGAUGUCAGGAAAACAACCUCUCACUCAACAUCAACAAAACAAAGGAGAUGAUCGUGGAUUUAAGGAAACGGCAGAAGGAGCACCCCCUAUCCACAUCGAAGGGACAGCAGUGGAGGUGGAAGGUUUUAUGUUCCUCGGCGUACACAUCAAAGACAAACUGAAAUGGUCCACCCACACAGACAGUGUGGUGAAGGCGCAACAGCACCUCUUCAACCUCAGGAGGCUGAAAUUUGGCUUGUCACCCAAAACCCUGACAAACUUUACAGAUGCACAAUCGAGAGCACCCUGUCAGGAUUUAUCACAGCCUGGUUGCAACUGCACUGCCCUCAACCGCAAGGCUCUCCAGAGGUAGGUGCGGUCUGCACAACGCAUCACCGGGGACAAACUACCUGCCCUCCAUGACACCUACAGCACCCGAUGUCACAGGAAGGCCAAAAAGAUCAUGAAGGACAACAACCACCCGAGCCACUGCCUGUUCACACCGCUAUCAUCAAGAAGGCGAGGUCAGUACAGGUGCAUCAAAGCUGGGACCUGAGAGAUUGAAAACAACUUCUCUCUCAAGUCCAUCAGACUGCUAAACAGCAAUCACUAACUCAGAGAGGCUGCUGCCUACAUUGAGAAGAUGAUUUGAUUUCAGGACCAUGGACAGCUCCCGAGAGAACAUCGCUGACUGCAAUGCAGCACCAAUGAAGAGGAAAGAGGCCACUUUAGGUGAAGACUAAAUACAUAAAUGCUGAAACUGACAUUGGUCAAUCAAAUUCAAUAUGUCAAUAAACAACAUUUGUUAAGGCUG